rnacentral:rRNA from 1 species
AAACAGCCUCACAGGGCCAACCCAUCCCUAUAGCAAAAGGGUGGGAAGAUUUUAGAGUAGAGGUGACACACCUACCGAGCCUAGAGAUAGCUGGUUAUUCAAGAAAAGGAUUUUAGUCCACCUUUAAGUUUUUCAAGUACCACUAAACACCCCAUAAACUUUAGAGCCAUUCAAAUAAGGUACAGCCUAUUUGAAAAAGGAAACAACCUACAAUCUAGGGUAAUGACCCCCCCCAUGUGACCAAGUCAGCCUAAAAGCAGCUAACUUCCAGAAAGCGUUCAAGCUUCAUCACGAACCAUCAUCAAUUCCACAAUUAACUCAUAACCCCCAACCACCACUGAAUAAUUUCAUACUAUAUGAAAAAUAUUAUGCUAGAACUAGUAACAAGAAGAAGAACUUCUCCAAAAUGUAAACGUAAGCCAAAAUGAACCCCCCACCGGCAUUUACCGUCACAAGCCUGCAGUACCAACAUUACAAGAAAACCGUACUCUAACUAACGUUAACCUUACACCAGAACA